rnacentral:rRNA from 1 species
UUUAUAAUUAAAAGCUAGAAUGAAAGGCUUAACGUUUUAAUAGUUUUAUUAAUAAUAUAUCUAUAAUUUAUUUUAAAUAUAAAAAAAUAUUUAUUUUAAAAAUAGACGAUAAGACCCUAUUGAACUUUACUUAAUUUGUUUAGCUGGGGCAGCUAUUUAAUUAUUAUUUUAAUACUAUUUUUAUUUAAUAAAAAACCAAUAAAAUUGAAUUUAUAUUAAGUUACCAUAGGGAUAACAGCGUAAUAUUAAUUUAAAGUUCAUAUUAAAAUUAAUGUUUGCGACCUCGAUGUUGAAUUAUAAUUCUUUAUUAAUGUAGUAGUUAUAAAAGCAGGUCUGUUCGACCUUUAAUAUUAUACAUGAUUUGAGUUCAAACCGGUAUAAGCCAGGUUGGUUUCUAUCUUUUAUUUAAAUUUUUCCAGUACGAAAGGACAAAAAAAUUUAUUAUAAAUUUAAUAUUAGCAAAUAAGUGCAUUAGAAUUAGAAUCUAAAUUUACUUUUA